AGGGAAUCUUCCACAAUGGACGGAAGUCUGAUGGAGCAACGCCGCGUGAAGGAAGAAGGCUUUCGGGUUGUAAACUUCUUUUGUCAGGGACGAAAAAAAUGACGGUACCUGACGAAUAAGCCACGGCUAACUACGUGCCAGCAGCCGCGGUAAUACGUAGGUGGCAAGCGUUAUCCGGAUUUACUGGGUGUAAAGGGCGUGUAGGCGGGAAAGCAAGUCAGGCGUGAAAACUAUGGGCUCAACCCAUAGCCUGCGUUUGAAACUGUUUUUCUUGAGUGUCGGAGAGGUAAUCGGAAUUCCGUGUGUAGCGGUGAAAUGCGUAGAUAUACGGAGGAACACCAGUGGCGAAGGCGGAUUACUGGACGAUAACUGACGCUGAGGCGCGAAAGCGUGGGGAGCAAACA
rnacentral:rRNA from 1 species